GGCUGCGGCUCAGUGGUAGAGCCCCCACCUGUCGCGUGUGGGCCCUGGGUUCCAGCCCCAGCAAGGCCA
rnacentral:tRNA from 1 species